AGAGUUUGAUCAUGGCUCAGAACGAACGCUGGCGGCAGGCCUAACACAUGCAAGUCGAGCGAGGUAGCAAUACCUAGCGGCGGACGGGUGAGUAACGCGUGGGAACGUGCCCUUUGCUUCGGAAUAGCCCCGGGAAACUGGGAGUAAUACCGAAUGUGCCCUUCGGGGGGAAAGAUUUAUCGGCAAAGGAUCGGCCCGCGUUGGAUUAGGUAGUUGGUGGGGUAAUGGCCUACCAAGCCGACGAUCCAUAGCUGGUUUGAGAGGAUGAUCAGCCACACUGGGACUGAGACACGGCCCAGACUCCUACGGGAGGCAGCAGUGGGGAAUCUUAGACAAUGGGCGCAAGCCUGAUCUAGCCAUGCCGCGUGAUCGAUGAAGGCCUUAGGGUUGUAAAGAUCUUUCAGAUGGGAAGAUAAUGACUGUACCAUCAGAAGAAGCCCCGGCUAACUCCGUG
rnacentral:rRNA from 1 species